rnacentral:rRNA from 1 species
ACAAGCGGUGAUGAUGUGGUUUAAUUCGAUGCAACGCGAAAACCUUACCUACCCUUGACAUGUCAAGAUUUUGCAGAGAUGUGAAAGUGCUCGAAAGAGAACUUGAACACAGGUGCUGCAUGGCCGUCGUCAGCUCGUGUCGUGAGAUGUUGGGUUAAGUCCCCGCAACGAGCGCAACCCUUGUCAUUAGUUGCUACCGCAAGGAGCACUCUAAUGAGACUGCCGGUGACAAACCGGAGGAAGUGGGGAUGACGUCAGGUCCUCAUGGCCCUUAUGGGUAGGGCUACACACGUCAUACAAUGGCCGGUACAGAGGGCUGCCAACCCGCGAGGGGAGCCAAUCCCAGAAAACCGGUCGUAGUCCGGAUCGUAGUCUGCAACUCGACUGCGUGAAGUCGGAAUCGCUAGUAAUCGCGGAUCAGCUUGCCGCGGUGAAUACGUUCCCGGGUCUU